GACGGAGGGGGCAAGCGUUGUCCGGACUUACUGGGCGUAAAGGGCUCGUAGGCGGUUGCCUGCGUCGGUGCUGAAAGCGCCCCGCUUAACGGGGCGAGGCGUGCCGAUACGAGGCGACUGGAGGCAGGCAGAGGGUGGCGGAAUUCCGGGUGUAGUGGUGAAAUGCGUAGAGAUCCGGAGGAACGCCUGUGGCGCAAGCGGCCACCUGGGCCUGACCUGACGCUGAGGAGCGAAAGCGUGGGGAGCGAACCGGAUUAGAUACCCGGGUAGUCCACGCGGUAAACGAUGCCAGCUCGGUGUCUGGGGUCCUUUUGGGACCCUGGGUGCCUCAGCACACGCGGUAAGCUGGCCGCCUGGGGACUACGAGCGCAAGCUUAAA
rnacentral:rRNA from 1 species